UUCAGAUACCUCUCGAGUUGUCUUAUGGACUAGAACCUGCGGGAUGUUUUUCUGUUGCCACACUAACUUAUUCUAAUUUAUAGUAUAGUUCAAAAGUAAACAUACUAGCUUAAUACAUUGAGUAGACCGAAAUUCGUGACUUCUUGUAGCUUAAAUAUGUGAACUCCUACUGUAGCUAUCUUCGAUUAACUUUUCGAUUCAAGUAAAGUAGCCUUUAUAGACAGUGUCAAGUUCUUUUGUAGUGGUCAUGAGUAGAAGCAUAUGUUUGUUGUUAAUUCUUGUUUAAAAUUGUGAUUUUAGAGUAGAAUAAGUUUUUAUUAUUAAUUAAUGACUAUUUCUGCAAAAGAAAUUAAGGUUCUAGAAUAGAACCAAAUCAUGUGAAGUCCUUGCGGUGAGUAGAAGCAUAUAUUUAUUGGUAAUAUUUGAGUAAAAUUGUGGUUCUAGAAUAGAAUCACAUUUGUAUUGUUUAUUUUAUGACUGUUUUUGUAUAUGAAAAUAAUGUGUUCUGUAAUAGAAUCAAAUAAUGUAGAGUAGUGGUUGUAUAGUAGAAUCUUAUAUAUAUAUUUGGUUCUAUAAUCAAUCUCUGUUACUGAUCAUAUGAGUUUUGGUCUAUAGUAGAAGCAUAUAUGUGUUAGAAAUAUAAUGCAUAUGUGUUUAUAAGAUUGAAUUAAUUUCAUAGUUCUGAUUCUAUAUACAAAUAAGCUAAUUAAUUUGAUUUUUAUGUGUGUUGUUUAAUAGUUUAGGGUUCGAACCAUAUUUUAUAAAAUUCUUGUUCUAGAGUAGAAGCAUUGAUGUAGUUGUGUGAAAUUAGUUUUGUCUGAGUUAGUUAAUGCUUAUUUUUGUUUUAAAAGUAAUAUUCUGUAAUGAGCUAAAUGGCAGCAUAGCAAAGGACUUAGGACUUCUCAGCUGCAUCACUUGCACCAGGGGAGCCCUUUAAAAUGGGUCGAUCAAAUCCCAUGAAAGUUGUUUUUGCAGCUAUGAAUAUGGAUUCCGUUGUUUCUUGUUGACGUAUUGUAUUGUCCUGGUAUCCGGAUGUCACAUUUUGUUAAAAGAGCGUUUUUAAGAUCUUAUUAAUCUCGGUCGGAACUGGUAUUUGUAUGCUCGUAAAUAUAUGCAUUUACUCCAUUUGGUCAGGAGAGGAUCUGCACCAAUUGGUUGUGAAAAACAUCAGAGGUGUUGCCAACUCCUAGGAAGAUGUAUAUCUUACCAGUGGUCAUGAGAGCAGAUUUUUGCAGCAGGAGACCAAGAAGGGAAAAAGGAUUUGAUAUAGGCAGCUACAGCGGUGGCAUGUGGACAAGACAUAGAAGUUCCUGAUUUAAUGUUGUACAAUACUCUUCUUUUGUCGCCGUUUAUUCCGGAGAGAGGGGCAGCUAGAGACCAUGUUGCUUUAUAUCUGGUCAUGCUGUCAGGAUUUCUAUUUGGUUGGCUUUGAUAUUGAUUUCCUGGAGAUUCAUGUUGGUUCAUAGAGCUGAGAACUUGGUUCAUGAUAAGGCCUUAAGUUAUGUGCUUAAAGCUUGGGUUUGUUUGUUGGUGGGGACUUUGAUAUUGGUUUGUAAAGAAACUGAUUGUUAAGGUUCUAGCUUAUUUUUUCAUGUGAACCAUUGCCUUUUGUUUUGUGUAUUUGUAAGUGAUUAAUUCCAUAGUAUCUUUAGCUACA